rnacentral:rRNA from 1 species
CUAACCAGGAUUCCCUCAGUNACGGCGAGUGAAGCGGGAAAGCCCAGCACCGAAUCCCCCGGCGUGUCCGUCGGCGGGAACUGUGGUGUGUGGGACGCCAACUGUCGCGCCCGGACGGCACCCAAGUCCUCCUGAUCGAGGCCUCUCCCCGAGUGGGUGUAAGGCCUUUGGUCGGUGCCCGUCCGGCGCGGCCGCGAGCGUCUCAGGAGUCGGGUUGUUUGGGNAUGCAGCCCUACAGCGGGUGGUACACUCCAUCUAAGGCUAAAUACCUGUGCGAGUCCGAUAGCAGACAAGUACCGUNGAGGGAA